AAGCCAGUGAAAGGUGUUAAACCACUGGAGAAGACCUCUAGCACUGAGGAAGUCAGUGGGCAGAAUGGCAGGUGAUCACAAAUGAACACAUGUUGAAACGUGCAUGAAGAUGAUGAUAACCUGCAGCAGUUGCCUGGUUUCUUGUCUUGCUUGUAUUCUCUGAUUUGAGGCAUAAGAAGAGCUCAUCCUGUUCUACCUGAGGCUCCCAGUACUAGAUGGUAAACUUGUUGGGGCAUACUCGUACAUUGCUCAUUUCAUAUAAUAUGAGAUCAAGUAGCUGUCAAGACAUGUUGGGCAGAUAUCUACAAAAACAAUAAUAUCUAAAGAUCCACAACAAAAAGGAAAAAUUUGGAAGGUCUUCAGUCAGCUCUGAACAGCUGCAAAUUUUGCUUUGGAUGAAAUAAUGAACCCAUCUAAGGGUCUCUCUGAAAACAGUCUUGCCGAGUUAUACUUGUCAGAAGUUGUAUUUGGCUUCUCAGUUUGAUAUAUUCCCAAAAAAAGGAAUUGGAACAAGCACCUAGAACUGGGUAAGUCAGCAGGACAUCUGGGUAAGAUUAGGGUGUAUAAAUAAAAAAAUAGUGGCCUUAUAUGCAUUUGAUUUGCAAAAAUAAGGCACUUGAGAUGCUGCUGAAGUUGCUUUGGUAUUACCUAAAUCUCUCACUCAUUUAUUUAUAUUCAAAUUCUACACUAUAUAAUAUGAUGUGCAAGAUAAGCCUCCAACCUAAAAUCAGCCAAUGCCCUUAAGGCCAUGAUACAAGUGCUUCUAUUUGUAUAGUAUUAACUAUUAUAUUCCUCUUGUUUUAUAGCUAGAUUUCUGUAACGAAAAUGAGUGGUUUUACUGGCAAUUAACAAUACAGAAACUAGUGAGGAAAAAAGGAAUUAGUGUAGUUGCAAACACAGUGAAACAGAGGCAAAUUAUUGUUACAGAAUGUUUUAUAUUUGCCAUUUGGAUUCCUGUUUCUUUUUGUUUAUUUGAGGAUAUUUUUGUGCAUGAACAGAAUGAAUGUUUUUUGCACAAAGGCAACUAUUUAUGUAAAUGCAUAUUUAAUUGCAUAAAGAUGGAUUUGCCUAAAUUAUUAUUUUAAUUUUUAUUUUUGGAGACAAUUGUGUCAUCUUGUAUGACAACGAUUUUUUACUUGAAAGUUGUAACCCUUUGUUAAAAAAAACAUUGCACAGUCAGGUAGCCAUCAUGAUGUUCUACUUCUCUACUGUUGUUUUAAGAAUGUAAUUUUUUAUACUUUUGGGAAAAACUGAUAUUAAUUUGGAAGUAUCUAUAUAUGUAUUUACUUAUUUUUGCCAAGCUUACUGGUUGAAGGCACGUCCAUCAGCCACAAAUCAGGGACUUCAGCAUAAUAUAGAUGCUGUAUGUUAGCUGAAGGGAAUAACUAAGGGCUGUUCAUAUAGUGAAAGACAAAAAAUUGUCACACACCUUUGUGCAUGUACAUGUGUGCUGUAAUAAAGUUGUAAUAAAGCUUUUCUGCAUGCAGAGCCAAAUGGACUUCAUUAGGGUAGCAGAUAAGGUAUUUCCCACAGUUAACGACUCUACUGCUGUAUUUCAUAUAUAUUCCAAAUUUUCAUUUAUCAUCAUGAAAGGAGCUUAUUCCCUGAAUGCCCUUUACAUAUGGUAAGAAGGUCUCAUGGGGCUCUGGCCAGCACGCAGUUCAGUUCUUUGCUUGCUGAGGAAACAAAUGCCAUAUUGAGUAUAUGCUACAAGAGCCACCAAGUCAGAGAAUUCGCAGGUAGAAAUUAUUUUAUACUUUAGAUGGCCACAGAGUCCUCCUGUUUACAGCAUUAAAACCCACCGUGUUUUGUCCUUUUUCUGUCUGGCCCAGUAAGUAUUAAGCUUUGAAAACAUUAUUCACAUAUUAACUGGGAGACUACUACCAGUUCAAACAGUCAGGGCUCCUGUAUUCAAAAGGGUGCUGAGAAGUGUUUUCUAAAUGAAUAAACAUCAGUUCACAUUGUGGAAUGGGUGGCAGCCCAAGUUAAUCAAUAAUUUAAUUACCAGUGACCCAUUUUGCUUACUUCUAGUUGAAAGGGAAUUUCUGCAUUCUUGCAUAAGUUAUCAUUUAUUCAACUUCUCACAGAUGGAUUCAGAUGAUGCUUUUCCUGCCUUGAGGAUGAGAUGAGCUUAAUCCAAUAUUAUAAAUGAAAAACAGGUGUCCAGAUACACGUUCUUUUCCUCAUAGCUUGCAUCAUAUUUAUUUACCUAAAAUAAUUCCUAACUCAAAAUUUGCUGCCGAAAGUUUAACUUACCUUCACUUAAGGUGAGUGUGACUGUGGAUGCGAUUGCUGCAGCAACAGAAAAUGACUGUUAGCAAUGUUUUUUUAAAGUUGCAAGCCCUUGUGAGAAGGCCAAUGUUCACAUCUUCUAGUUAUUAUUAUUAUUCAUUUUUAUUGGGAAGGCAGCUGGCUGGAGCUCCAGAAAUAGAACAGGUUUAAAGUGAAGCAGAAAUUCUCAUUUGUCUCUAAAAAUAGGUCAUCUUCCAGUAUGGAAUUUGAACUGCCAGCUUUUAUGCUUCUGAAUUCCCGAAGUUAUUCCUGUUGGAUUUAUCUUCAUACAAUUUUAAUAUAAACCCUUUGAAAUUGGAUGCUGGCUGAAGUGUUUCUUUGGCUUGAAAGUCUGUGUUUGACUUGCAGUUGUUUCAGUUAAAAAAAGAAAAGCUGGAUGAGAACAGGUGGUGUGACAUACAUCUUUUUAAUAAGCAUUCUGGAUUUAUGCAGUGUGUGGCAUUAUAGUCAUCACCACAGUCAGGUGUGCAGCAGAGAAGCACGCAUUACAUACCCUUGAAAGAUUAAACUUGUAUUUUAUCUGCUUUUUUGAUUUCUGAUAGUAUGAUAUGCUCUAUAUAGAUGCCCUAACUCUUUGCAACAAAUUAUUGUGCAUGUAUUAAUUAUAAUACUGGCUAGAAAUGUAAACAGAAAUCAGGAUAUUCAUGUCUUAACUCUGAAUGAGGAAAUCAGGAGACCAUUCUUACUCCAAACUGAUAGCAAGCAACAUGGACAGCACAAUGGUAGCAUUAAUACCUCCACUAUGCAGAUGAGAAACCUAUGUGCAGGAAAACGUAAAUUAUUGUCCCAGAAGCACUAAGCCUAUGUCUAGACACCAUAAUGUGGGGAACAUCUGAGUUUCUGACUCAGGAUGUGCACGAAGGCCAUGUCUGGAUCACGUUUUGGGGUGAAACCCAUGUGCAUGCCAUCCAUCCCUCCCCAGAUCCCUGCUUUCCAUAGGAAGGGAUGUGAGCCAGGCUGGAGCUACAGUGAACCCAAGAGAUGCCCAGCCUGGUCAGUCAGGGAGCUGGAUGCAGGUAAUGGAGCACCUUGGCAGAUAGGUGUGCUUCAAGCAGAGCCAAAAAAAAAUGUAAAACUCUAACCUUUGCAAUGCUCACUCCAGUAUUCAGGUGCAAAUCUGUCCUCCAUGGGACCAAACAUUUAGCAGGAUUAAAAUGUUCAAUUGGUUCUCAGUGUGUGGGAACAGUAUUUUAAAUAGGGUGAUGGGGAAAUGGCUGGAAUAGUUCCACUAUUGUCCAGAGCCACUUGCUGGAUCCUGGGAACAGCAAUUCUGUGCAGCCCCCCUUCUCAAUCUGCAGAGGCACGGAGUAGAUUCAUUAGGCAUUUUGGAAUGUGCAAUGUUUAUUUUAAAAAAUAAAAUGUCUGCUAUGUCAUGAGUGGGUUACUGA